CAUCCGCUGAGGGUGGAAGCGGCCCCCGCAGACGCUCGGCAGGUGUCUUGAUAUUAUCAUCUGCUGAGGGUGGAAGGGCAGUGAGCUGACGCUCGGAAGGUGUCUUGAGAUUAUCAUCCGCUGAGGGUGGAAGGGGAUGGAGCAGACACUCGGCACGUGUCUUGAGAUUAUCAUCCGCUGAGGGUGGAGCUGAGGGUAGAGCUGAGGGUGGAAGGGGAGUGAGCAGACACUCGGGAGGUGUCUUGAGGCUCAGGGAGUUAUCAGUUAUAGAAUGUUGUUGAGUUGGAGGAGGUGGCUGGUGGCCCAUCCUGUUUUUUAAAGUUUCAGCUGUGAGGUA
rnacentral:lncRNA from 1 species